rnacentral:rRNA from 1 species
GCGGAGGGAUCAUUACCGAGUUAUACAACUCAUCAACCCUGUGAACAUACCUAAAACGUUGCUUCGGCGGGAACAGACGGCCCUGUAACAACGGGCCGCCCCCGCCAGAGGACCCCUAACUCUGUUUUUAUAAUGUUUUUCUGAGUAAACAAGCAAAUAAAUUAAAACUUUCAACAACGGAUCUCUUGGCUCUGGCAUCGAUGAAGAACGCAGCGAAAUGCGAUAAGUAAUGUGAAUUGCAGAAUUCAGUGAAUCAUCGAAUCUUUGAACGCACAUUGCGCCCGCCAGUAUUCUGGCGGGCAUGCCUGUUCGAGCGUCAUUACAACCCUCAGGCCCCCGGGCCUGGCGUUGGGGAUCGGCGGAAGCCCCCUGUGGGCACACGCCGUCCCUCAAAUACAGUGGCGGUCCCGCCGCAGCUUCCAUUGCGUAGUAGCUAACACCUCGCAACUGGAGAGCGGCGCGGCCAUGCCGUAAAACACCCAACUUCUGAAUGUUGACCUCGGAUCAGGUAGGAAUACCCGCUG